GAUGAACGCUGGCGGCGUGCCUAAUACAUGCAAGUCGAACGGACGUGAUAGCGAUAUUACGUUAGUGGCGAACGGGUGAGUAACACAUGGGUGACCUGCCCCGAAGUGGGGGAUAGCAGUUCGAAAGGACUGAUAAUACCGCGUAAGCUUGUGGUAGUUAGAGAGCCACAAGUAAAGGUUUUCGAAUCGCUUCGGGAGGGGCCUGUGUCCCAUCAGCUAGUUGGUAAGGUAACGGCUUACCAAGGCGGAGACGGGUAGGGGGCCUGAGAGGGUGGCCCCCCCCAAUGGAACUGAAACACGGUCCAUACACCUACGGGUGGCAGCAGUAGGGAAUAUUGCACAAUGGACGAAAGUCUGAUGCAGCAACGCCGCGUGCACGAUGAAGGCCUUCGGGUUGUAAAGUGCUUUUGGCGGGGAAGAGGAAGGACAGUACCCGCAGAAUAAGCUUCGGCUAACUACGUGCCAGCAGCCGCGGUAACACGUAGGAAGCGAGCGUUAUCCGGAUUUACUGGGCGUAAAGCGCGUGCAGGCGGUUUUGUAAGUUGGAUGUAAAAGCUCCCGGCUUAACUGGGAGAUGACGUUCAAAACUAGAUAGCUUGAGUAUGAGAGAGGAAAAUGGAAUUCCGGGUGUAGUGGUGAAAUGCGUAGAUAUCCGGAGGAACACCAGUGGCGAAGGCGAUUUUCUGGCUCAAGACUGACGCUCAGACGCGAAAGCUAGGGUAGCAAACGGGAUUAGAGACCCCGGUAGUCCUAGCUGUAAACGAUGUAGACUAGGCGUUGGUGGAGUAAAAUCCAUCAGUGCCGCAGCAAACGCGAUAAGUCUACCGCCUGGGGACUACGGCCGCAAGGUUAAAACUCAAAGGAAUUGACGGGGCCCCGCACAAGCAGCGGAGCGUGUGGUUUAAUUCGAUGCUACACGAAGAACCUUACCAGGGUUUGACAUACAAGUGGUAGAGAGGCGAAAGCGGAUCGACCCUUCGGGGAGCUUGUACAGGUGCUGCAUGGCUGUCGUCAGCUCGUGUCGUGAGAUGUUCGGUUAAGUCCGCUAACGAGCGCAACCCUCGCUGUGUGUUACAAGUGUCACACGGAACUGCCGGUCAUAAACCGGAGGAAGGUGGGGAUGACGUCAAGUCAGCAUGGCCUUUAUAUCCUGGGCUACACACACGCUACAAUGGGAAGGGACAAUAGGUUGCGAAACCGCGAGGUGGAGCCAAUCCAGCAAAACUUCCCUCAGUUCAGAUUGCAGGCUGCAACUCGCCUGCAUGAAGUUGGAGUUGCUAGUAAACGCAGGUCAGCCAUACUGCGUUGAAUACGUUCCCGGGGCUU
rnacentral:rRNA from 1 species